rnacentral:rRNA from 1 species
CAUGCAGUCGAACGGCAGCGCGGGGCACCUGGCGGCGAGUGGCGAACGGGUGAGUAAUACAUCGGAACGUGCCCUGUGAUGGGGGAUAACUACGCGAAAGCGUAGCUAAUACCGCAUACGACCUAAGGGUGAAAGUGGGGGAUCGAAAGACCUCACGUCAUAGGAGCGGCCGAUGGCGGAUUAGCUAGUUGGUGAGGUAAAGGCUUACCAAGGCGACGAUCCGUAGCUGGUCUGAGAGGACGACCAGCCACACUGGGACUGAGACACGGCCCAGACUCCUACGGGAGGCAGCAGUGGGGAAUCUUGGACAAUGGGGGCAACCCUGAUCCAGCAAUGCCGCGUGUGGGAUGAAGGCCUUCGGGUUGUAAACCACUUUUGGCGGGGGCGAAAUAUCGAAUGAUAAUACCAUUCGGUGAUGACGGUACCCGCAGAAUAAGCACCGGCUAACUACGUGCCAGCAGCCCGGG